rnacentral:rRNA from 1 species
UGCGUAGGCGGCUUAUUAAGUCAGUGGUGAAAUCCUGCGGCUCAACCGUAGAACUGCCAUUGAAACUGAUAAGCUUGAAUAUAGUUGAGGUAGGCGGAAUGAGUAGUGUAGCGGUGAAAUGCUUAGAGAUUACUCAGAACACCGAUUGCGAAGACAGCUUACUAAACUAUUAUUGACGCUGAGGCACGAAAGCGUGGGGAGCGAACAGGAUUAGAUACCCUGGUAGUCC